AGAGCGAACGCUGGCGGCAGGCCUAACACAUGCAAGUCGAGCGCCCCGCAAGGGGAGCGGCAGACGGGAGAGUAACACGUGGGAACGUACCCUUCAGUUCGGAACAACCCAGGGAAACUUGGGCUAAUACCGAAUACGUCCGUAAGGAGAAAGAUUUAUCGCUGAAGGAUCGGCCCGCGUCUGAUUAGCUAGUUGGUGAGGUAACGGCUCACCAAGGCUACGAUCAGUAGCUGGUCUGAGAGGAUGAUCAGCCUCACUGGGACUGAGACACGGCCCAGACUCCUACGGGAGGCAGCAGUGGGGAAUAUUGGACAAUGGGCGCAAGCCUGAUCCAGCCAUGCCGCGUGGGUGAUGAAGGCCCUAGGGUUGUAAAGCCCUUUCGGCGGGGAAGAUAAUGACGGUACCCGCAGAAGACGCCCCGGCUAACUUCGUGCCAGCAGCCGC
rnacentral:rRNA from 1 species